rnacentral:rRNA from 1 species
CUACACGUCAUUUUCAGGCGGGAGCGCAGUGGUUUAUUCGAGCACGCGAAGAACCUUACCAGGUCUUGACAUCCUCUGACAAUCCUACAUAUAGGACGUCCCCUUCGGGGGCAGAGUGACAGGUGGUGCAUGGUUGUCGUCAGCUCGUGUCGUGAGAUGUUGGGUUAAGUCCCGCAACGAGCGCAACCCUUGAUCUUAGUUGCCAGCAUUCAGUUGGGCACUCUAAGGUGACUGCCGGUGACAAACCGGAGGAAGGUGGGGAUGACGUCAAAUCAUCAUGCCCCUUAUGACCUGGGCUACACACGUGCUACAAUGGACAGAACAAAGGGCAGCGAAACCGCGAGGUUAAGCCAAUCCCACAAAUCUGUUCUCAGUUCGGAUCGCAGUCUGCAACUCGACUGCGUGAAGCUGGAAUCGCUAGUAAUCGCGGAUCAGCAUGCCGCGGUGAAUUCGUUCCCGGGCCUUGUACAACCCGCCCGUGA